rnacentral:lncRNA from 1 species
UAAGCUCGUAAUUCAAGUAACACAUCAAAGAAUGAGGGUGAUUGUAUAAAUCGUACUACUAAUACUGAUUAUGUGGUGAAACCUUCAUUGCAGGAAAUACUUUCGAAAAGCAUACAUGAGCCUUGUUCAAAUAACAACAAAGAACCCAUCUAUGAAAAAUGAAGGUUUCAAGUCGAGGAACUAGAUGAAUGGCCGACACAGAAAUCGAGA